UGGCGAACGGGUGAGUAACACGUGGGCAACCUGCCCAAAAGAGGGGGAUAACACUUGGAAACAGGUGCUAAUACCGCAUAACCAUAGUUACCGCAUGGUAACUAUGUAAAAGGUGGCUAUGCUACCGCUUUUGGAUGGGCCCGCGGCGCAUUAGCUAGUUGGUGGGGUAAAGGCUUACCAAGGCAAUGAUGCGUAGCCGAACUGAGGGGUUGAUCGGCCACAUUGGGACUGAGACACGGCCCAAACUCCUACGGGAGGCAGCAG
rnacentral:rRNA from 1 species